GGUUCUGGGGAGGAGGGAGCAGCCGAGCCCCGCCCCGCCCGGGGAGGGACAGGCGCAAGGUGUAGGGGGCGCACGAGGCAGGUACCUGCGCGCGGUGAUACUGGUGCCAUGGCUGCUGGGUCUGCGGCCGGGAUAACGCCCGGGUGUGCGUCUGGGGGAGCCGCUGCCGGGUGAGCUCCAGGCAGGCAGCAGCCGUCGCGGUGUCCCUAUUUGGACACGUGCGGGUAGAGGCCUUGCGCCGUUACCUGGGGGCGCGCUUCGUCGCCCGCUGCCCCGGGAGCCGCCAACGGCCCUGCUCCCACUGGGUUAGUUGUAACACCAGCUGAUCUCCUCUCCCUUGCAUCGAUCGGGCCGCCCCAGCCGGCCACGGGCCAGGAACCGCGGCAGGCGGUGGCACAGGGUGAAGGGAACCAUCGUCGGGUCCGGAGGGAUGUGGUGAAGGUGGUGAUGGAGAAGUGGCCAAGAUCAUCCGGGAUGAGCAGUUCGGGGGCUGGAGGUGCUGGACGCGGAGCUCUCCGAGACCUGAGAGAGGAGUCACAGCACAGAGUCCUGCCUCUCCCCCAGUCCCACAGCUCUUGAAGAAACGGCGGAGAAUCCGUGCAUCACGUGUUACGCUUUACCUCAGGGAAUUGUUUGGUCCAUAAAAACUCCAGGAGGUGGCUUCUGGGUGUCCAGACUAAUUCAUGCAGACUGCCUGGAUAAUCUUUUCUUAGGGAGUAGUGCGGGCUGGGUUCCCAGUUCUGUGAGGGGCUGGGCUCAGCAACAGCAACGGGAGUUAGGCGAAAGGGGAGACUACACCAAAUUUAUUUAUCUAAAAAAGUGAAUGUCAGCAACUAAAUUUUUCAGUAACCCUUUCUCUGUCCUAGCCCAGACAAGAGAACUGAACAGAGCUCAUCCUCCUCAUCUCUUGCAUGUUGUUUCUGUGAAUGAUAUCUAACCAUGUCUCUCUCGUCUCCCUUCCCCCAAACUUUCUGGUCCCUGACUUUCACCCUUUACCAGCCAGGGAAGCUUUUUCCUCUUUGCAUCAUCUUCUGGAGAUGGUAUUAUUACUUGCUAGUAUAUUUUGAAACAUGGAGAGCAACUUCAGAUGUCUUUUUCACUGCUCUUUAUAGAUCUAUAGCACAGACUGCUAGUUUGUUUCAGGGGAUAAGGAAAACACAAAAGGGGUAUCUUCAUGAAUUCCUAGUUCAACUCCCCCAUUAUCUUUAUCUGGGUUACGUAUAGUAGGGUUGACUUUUUUUUUUUUUGUUUUAGGUUUUGUAAAUAGGUGUGGGAAAGGUUCAUGCUGAAGACUGAUUACGGGGGGGUGGGGAAUUGUCUGGCUGAAGAGUUCAUUUAUUUUGUGUUUGCUGCUAUAUUAUGGCUGAGGGCUUUGGAUUUUCUUCAUCUGCUCUGAGAGGUCAAGCAGCAGAGGUAUCUUUCUUGCAAAAUUCUGACAGUGAUCAGGCACUGAUGGUGCACAGAAGGACUGCAGCUACUGCCUCUCUGAGCCUAUACAUAUAUUGUCUCAACCUCACACAUUAUAUGCAAGGGAGAAAAUUGCCUGAAAUCUGCAUUACUGUUGUCUUGCCUUGCUUAUAAAUCUGUCAGUGUAGGAAUAAUGAGCUAUGUCAGAAACUCUUUAAUUUACUCUUAGACCUUUGUCAGGAUUUUAUUUCUCUGUUACAUAGCUAUGGAGUAGAUUCAGUUCAGAGUUUUAAUCACUGAAAGUUUUAUGUCAGUGUGCCAUUUAUUUGCAGAUUCAGUGGAGCCCUUUAGGGUGACUUGUUGAAAUCCAUUGCAAGAGUCAGUCCAGAGAGGUUCACUCAAGUUACUCACUGUGGUGUGGAUUUUGUUAGGGUAUUCCAUUCGGUUACUUCUUGUGUAGCUAAUAAGAAUAAACUAUCACUGUCAAAACCGGUUAAUGACAAUGUGAGGAAGAUUUAAUCAUAAUUGAGCAUUAAAAGUAAUCUUAUGUUCCAGAAUUGUUUGUAUUAUUUCCCUCAACUUGUUUUAAAAGGUCUGUACUAAUUAACUGUUCCAUAGCAGAAGACAGAGCAUGACUCGUGUGCAUAAUGUUGUACAAAUUGGAUAUGUGUGUUUAAAGAAGAAAAUCUAGGAAUACAAGAAUGGAUGUAGUCUGUGCUUAAAAUAAAAGGGAGCACACUUUUUCCUGAUCCCACUAAAACAGAGGAGGAAUUUCCUCUCCUCAGCCAGUCCAGUGAGAGCUCUACUUCCUGUUUCAGUCUGCUUUUCACAUGGGAUGUGGUGCUGUGCCACAUAACUUUACAACAAGAUACCAUGGUUGAAAAUGAAGCUAGAGAAAUUCUGAUAGAAAAUAAGGUAUGUAUUAUUAACAGUGAGGGUAACUAACUAUUGAAAUAAUUUAACAAGGUUUGUGGUGGUUUUUCUGUUACUGACAAUUUUCUAAGCCAGGAUUGGCUGUUUGUCUAAAAUACAUGCUCUAGUUCAAACAAUAAUUAAUUCAGGGAAGUCCUAUGGCCUAUAUUAUACAGAAAGUCAGAUUAGAUUAUCACUAUGAUCCUUCUGUCUUUAUAAUCUAUGAAAACUGAAUGGUAGCAAAUAUGUCAGUCUUUAUUUUAAAACAAAUUGAAGAAGUGAUUCUGGAAAUUACAGAUCAGUGUGCCAGAAAAAUUGGUUGCAAUAAUAAUCAAAGAUAAAAUUAUGAAAUAUUAAGGGUAAUAAAAAAGUACUGUCAAGGACUGGCAGAGAGACACAGAAGAAUACAUAGGAAUAAAUGGUCAAUAUUCAAGUUGACGAAAAAGAAACAGUGGAGGGCCACAAAGUUCUGUACUAGGACUGGAAUAAUAGCUAACUAUAUGCAAUUUGGGUUCUAGUUUCUUCUUCUCUUCCACAAUACUACAUGGCUGAGUUUCCUGUUUAUAAUCUAAGGCUGCCUUUCCUUGCAUGCAGUAUUGCCCUGUGGCAUUGAGCGUAAGCACUUGAGAUAGAACCUCUCCAUUUAAAAUGAGUGGCAGCAACAAGUAAGAGAAAUGGUUUUUCAAGAGGGGUCCUUUGCUUUGGAAUUCAUUUUAUCUUUGUUCUGCCAGAGCCCAAGUUAUUUAACCAUGUAGGCACAGUAAAAAGCCCACUUUCUUUCCGCAUGUGGGGAGGUGGUGUGUUGAUGGGUCAUCACUGUAAAGAAGACUAAUCUGAUGACAAUAUGGCAGAAGCUUGGGAAAACCAUAGAGAAGAUCACACACUGACAGUGGAGGUUUAAAAAUAAAAUAAGAACAGAUUUGUGUAUCAGAUAUCAUAUGGAGUGAGUACAGGACAUUUAGGGGUUCAUGCCGAAAGGGUGUUAAUCUUGGCAAGCCAGUUGUUCCUUUAUGCCUUGCAGUCGGUUCUAUCCCUGAAGCUAUUCUGAGAACACAGACUCUAAAACAGGUGAUAAAUUAAGCCCCUUUAGUUAAAAGACAAAACUAUAAGAGUGCUAAUGCUGCACUUACAGUACUCUGAUCUAAUAAACUUCUCUGUUUCAUGUAAGUAUCAGUGACUGAAAUGAUUCAGGAAGACCUAUAGUUCUUGAACUUCAGACUCAGAUAAGUCUUUCAAUAUACAACUUGUUUUCUUCCAUUCUCUAAGUGUCAGUAUUUUCUUUACGCACCCCAUUUUUGAGUCUUUAAAAGCCUUCCCUGCUCUUUUCAGGAUUUCCAGGCUGCAGCUGACUUGCCUCACAGGAUAAAUGCACAACUGAAUACUGUACAAACACAGGUCAAACUUCCUGAAGCUGGUAAAAAAUGAAGAUGGCUGUUAAACGUUUGAUGACCUAUCUCUAUUGGCUAUACUAUCAGUAUAAACUGAUCACCUGUAGUGAACUCAUGGUACCCAGUGAACUAUUGAUCUUCUACACUGUUGUUGUUCCUAUGCUUGCGGUGAUUGUGUACAUGGUUUACAUCUUUAUCGCUAUGCAGAUCAAUCUGGCUUUCCAGUUUUUCUUAUUUGUCUUUGGAAACGAACCUGAAAAUACUGUUUCUAUUACAAAGUAGCCUAGCUACCAUCAUGGUGGCUUUUUGAUCCUGCAUGCUGUUCUCAUAAAGCUAUGUAUUUGUUUAGAAGCAAUUUGAGGUUUACGCAAACACUGCUUUUUGUGUGUGUAAAAUCUGCUUAAAUAGGAAUUAUACAGAAGAUAAAACCAACCUUUAUUCUGUAAUGGACACUUCAUCCUAGAUGUAUUACUUACUAAAUAUUCUACUUGUUCACCUUAAGAAUAGUGUUCAUAUACAAUAUUUUAGAUAUACUGAAAUGGGAUAAAUUAAUUAUCUAAUCGUUCUACAUUAGAGCUGGUAAAAAUAUUUCAAUAUUUAGUGGAAAAAUUGUGGAAAAAAAGAUUUUACAUUUUCAUGAAUGCUUUUUGACCAGCUUUAUUAAACAUACAGAUAUCUUA